rnacentral:rRNA from 1 species
AUGGUUGCUCGCCUCUGGAACCACCUCCUCGACAUCUCCUCUGCGCCCAUGGGCCUCGACGCCCUUGUUGUUGUUGCUACUAGACCACCACGGCACCAUCUUGGAGACCAUGGCCACCACCGAGACCUCCCGGAACCGUCAAGACGUGCACACGGAGACCCUGGAUUCGACAAGUCCCUCACGGUGACCCUGAACAGCUAUGGGACAUGCACGACUUCGAACCAUGUACCACGUCGAACAUGUACGGCUACACAACGAACCGCCAAGACCCAGAACGACUACCGCCGCCGAAGUCCGUGA